rnacentral:ncRNA from 1 species
CAUUGCUGCGGUGAAUACUUCCCGGGCCUUGUACACACCGCCCGUCACGUCACGAAAGUCGGUAACACCCGAAGCCGGUGGCCAACCCCCUUCUGGGAGGGAGCUGUCGAAGGUGGGACUGGCGAUUGGGACGAAGUCGUAACAAGGUAGCCGUACCGGAAGGUGCGGCUGGAUCACCUCCUUU